CGGAGGGAGUGGCUCCCGGCCUCUUUUCCUGUUUCAAACCGCCGAUGUUGCUCGCGGCGCCACGAGGAAAGCAGCUUUGCGCCGCGGUUGCCUCCACAAGUCCCAAACAAGCGGUGGGAGAUUGGGGGUAGCCGUCAGAAGUCUUGAUUUAGCUCAAUCCCGCAGAAAAGGCCGAAAUCGACUGAACCCCCCCCAAAACGGAGGAGUCAACUUAGCCUUGAAAAGGAACCCCCCCCCUCCCCCGGCUUUGCAGACCUUCCGAACUAAGCAACCUUGGAUGGCCGAGUUCCGUCAAACGUUUUAGUUCUGGAAACUGGAAAUCUACAGGAGGAUUGAAAUGGCAGAAGUCGUGAUCCGUACCUCCACGCGAACGGUGCAUUUCUCAGUGGAUUUUUAUGCGGGGUGAGACUUAGAUGGGUGUGACCCUUCGGAGUUAGAAUUAUCUCCAACCAUCUUUGAGGGGGCGGUGAACGAUAUGAACGCGAGAUUGCCGUCCAUGGAUAAUAUUUAAAGUCCCCUGCUUCGAGCAGGGUUUGGAUUAGAAGACCUCUGAGAUCCUUUCCAGUCCUAUGAUUCCAUGUUCUGUAUAUACUUUGGCGCUGAAACAGAAAUUAGCAGCUUUCCAUCCAGUCGCCCCGACUCUACCCCGACUACAGGGUCGUAAAAAGGGAAUCUUUUUUUUUCUAAUGGAGGAAAGUCCAUUGGGACUAAAUGGCUAUGGAGAUUGUUCCAAAGGUGCUUUUUCAAAAGGCAACGGGACUUUAUUUUUCCUUGAAGACGUUUUGCUUUUCAUCCAAGAAGCUUCUUCAGUUCUGACCUUGGUGUUUGUGUAUCUGUGUGUGUGUGUCACCGUGCUACUCUGGACUUGUUUUUCUACCUUGGAUGUGGCCGCCCGCAGGGGAACGGGAAGCAAACUGCCAUCUGCCUUGUAGUAUCUCGCAAAGGAUGCAAUUUCUGUACAGAUGUCAUCUUGAGCCCAAGGCAGCCAAAAAUGUGUCUCAAGAUGGGCAAGCCUUGCAGAUAGCUACACAGGCUCAGGUUCUGCCUAUGGAGCUGGGGAUGCUGAACCCUCUGUCACGUUAAUACAUAAAAGGAUUCCAGUUCCAGAAUGGGAGAAUCUGGGAUUUCAGUGGCAUAACAGACCAGACUUCUCCUCAAUUCCCUCCAGGUGAAAAAUUGGAAAGUCCAACACCAAUUAUUUUAAUUAGUCAGAAGACCUUUCCUGAAGUUUCCCAAAGGAGCUUUAGUAGUGAUUCCAGGGAAGAAAUAUAUGUGGAUUCUGACAGUCGAUUGUUAACUCAGGAAGAUUAGGAUCCAGAUAGCCUUAGUGAUGCCAGCAAAUCUGAUGAUGGUAUCAACUUGGAAAAAGAUAGGAAAAGCCAAAAUGGCACCAAAAUGUCUGAACAGGAUCAGACAAGGGCUGAAAGUGCAAAGCUCUCAGUGUCCUAUGACAAGACUUUCAGGCUUGAUCCACUGUCAGCAUCUUUCUAUAUGGGUGAUGAGGCAGAAGAGAUUGCGGUUCCUUCAAAGCUUACUUGAAACAUACCUCCUCCUCCUCAAAUAGACAAUGAAGAACUUCCUUUCAGACAGCUGCCAAAGGAAUGAACAAUACCCAUCUUUACUCAAAUGGAAAAAUGGUUAUGUCACUACACCAGAGACUAUCAGAACUAACAAGCUGUAUCCACAAAAGAAAUUACAUCUUUUGUUAGGCAAGAGAGUUUUACCAAACAGAAGUCAAGCAGCAACAUUUCUCAAAACAUGUUACCAGAUAUCUCAAGUCCUCCUCUACUGAAAGAUCUUGAGGUCACACGAGCAAAUUGUAUGAACUAUAAUCCUGAGACCCAUUUCCUUCUUAAAGACAGUGAAACUGCCCUGGCACCCUUGGAAGCCAUAAUACUUUGUCAAACUCACCAGCUAGAUGCUCCAGAAAAUCUUUCUGGGCAGUUAGAAGACUCUGUCUGGAGAGUCUAAUGUGGACACAGCCAGCACUGUCAGUUUGGUAAGUGGUAAAAAUCUGCUGUUGUGUUCCCUGCUCAAUGGUGCCUGAGCAUCUGCUGGUUGUUACUCUACUGAAACUGUUUUCCACUGUUAAAACAUUUUUUCACAGCUAUCGUUGUACUAGAUCUGCAUGCCACACUGAAGCAAGCCAAGCUGUAUGGGAGUAUUACUGAAAUUAAGCUUUGUAUAACUCAAAACUGUUUCAGUGGCUUCCAUUUUUGGUUCAUCUUUUACUUCAUUUUGAUGUCACAGACUCAUCCCCAGUGAAAGAACACAGGGCAGAAAACAUCCUGCAGCCAAGAAGGCUCCACACAUAUUUGCACUACUCAGGUGACCCCUGAGG